rnacentral:lncRNA from 1 species
GUUCGCAUAAAAUAGAACAAAAAUGGAUUCCCCAUCCUAAAAAUAGGCCAAAAUCCGAAAUACCGCAAUGAAUUUGCCCAAGAGAUUUUCUUUACAUUCCAAAACCUUAACAGCCCAACCAAAAGGAAGUUCUACUAAGACCAAGAUAUUUUCAAAACAUUCUUAGACUUGAAAGACCAACCCAAAGGAAGUUCUCUAGUAAGACCAAGAGAUUUUCAAAACAUCCCAAGUCUUUAAGACUAACCAAAGGAAAUUCUAUUAAGAGCAAGAGAUUUUCAAAACAUCCUUAGACUUGAGAGACCAACACAAAGGAAGUUCUAUGAAGACCGAGAGAUCAACUAGAGUGCAUUCCUUGGUCUGGACUCCCACGGAUCGCACAAGAGUGCAUUCCUUGGUCAGG